UACGGAGGGUCCAAGCGUUAUCCGGAAUCAUUGGGUUUAAAGGGUCCGUAGGCGGCCCGAUAAGUCAGCGGUGAAAUCUCCCGGCUCAACCGGGAAAUGGCCAUUGAUACUGUCGGGCUUGAAUUAUUGGGAAGUAACUAGAAUAUGUAGUGUAGCGGUGAAAUGCUUAGAGAUUACAUGGAAUACCAAUUGCGAAGGCAGGUUACUAUCAAUAUAUUGACGCUGAUGGACGAAAGCGUGGGUAGCGAACAGG
rnacentral:rRNA from 1 species